ACUCAAAUGAAUUGACGGGGGCCCGCACAAGCGGUGGAGUAUGUGGUUUAAUUCGACGCUACGCGCAGAACCUUACCAACCUUUGACAUGUCCACUAUGGGUCUGAGAGAUCAGAUCCUUCACUUCGGGUGGGUGGAACACAGGUGCUGCAUGGCUGUCGUCAGCUCGUGUCGUGAGAUGUUGGGUUAAGUCCCGCAACGAGCGCAACCCCCAUCUUUAGUUGCCAUCAGGUUAAGCUGGGCACUCUAGAGAAACCGCCGGUGACAAGCCGGAGGAAGGCGGGGAUGACGUCAAGUCCUCAUGGCCCUUACAGGUUGGGCUACACACGUACUACAAUGACAGUGACAAUGGGAUGCAACUCCGCAAGGGGAAGCCGACCUCAAAAAGCUGUCUCAGUUCGGAUUGUCCUCUGCAACUCGAGGGCAUGAAGCUGGAAUCGCUAGUAAUCGCGCAACAGCAUGGCGCGGUGAAUACGUUCCCGGGCCUUGUACACACCGCCCGU
rnacentral:rRNA from 1 species